rnacentral:rRNA from 1 species
AUUGAACGCUAGCGGCAUGCCUUACACAUGCAAGUCGAACGAGCGGCGGACGGGUGAGUAAUGUAUGGGGAUCUGCCCGGUAGCGGGGGAUAACUACUGGAAACAGUGGCUAAUACCGCAUACUAUCGGAUGAACCCAUAUGGGAUUAGCUAGUAGGUGGGGUAAAGGCUCACCAAGGCGACGAUCUGUAGCUGGUCUGAGAGGACGAUCAGCCACACUGGGACUGAGACACGGCCCAGACUCCGACGGGAGGCAGCAGUGGGGAAUAUUGGGCAAUGGGGGCAACCCUGACGCAGCCAUGCCGCGUGAAUGAUGAAGGCCUUCGGGUUGUAAAGUACUUUCGGUAGCGAGGCGGUAACUGCAGAAUAAGCACCGGCUAACUCCGUGCCAGCAGCCGCGGUAAUUC